GCGUGGAAAAGCGCUAAACGCACCUCACGUCUUUACCGGCGCAUACCCGUUGGCAAUCGUGUUGUCAGAAGAUACUGACAUUUAAUCGAAAGUCAUCUCGCGAUGGCUCUUUGCCGGUGAUCAACCAGAGUCACGAGUAGAAGUGCACUUUGUGCACGAACAAAUAUAUUUCGCGAUUAAUUUUAGUGAAUACUGAAUUUAAGUCCCAUCUGGGCACCCCGUGAAGCAGUACAUUUCUUACAAUGCAAGUCUAACCUAGAAUCAUUUAGAUUUGCCAUCAGCAUGCAUGUGCUCAUGCAACUCCCAAAUCGUCUUUUUGGAAAAAAAGAACAUCUUUUGUAUCGAGUUACUAAACGCAAUUUGUAACUAGCCGUUUAAAACCAGCUCAAAUCGCCAAAUACAAACCUAGUUAAGCAAAAACUGAGCGUAUUUCUUCGGUGGUUACAAAUACGGAAAAAUCCUCGAUCCCGUUGCCAGCAAGGGCAACA